UACGUAGGGGGCUAGCGUUGCUCGGAAUCACUGGGCGUAAAGCGCACGUAGGCGGGUUGUUAAGUCAGGGGUGAAAUCCCGGAGCUCAACUUCGGAACUGCCUUUGAUACAGCACGUCUUGAGUCCGAUAGAGGUGGGUGGAAUUCCUAGUGUAGAGGUGAAAUUCGUAGAUAUUAGGAAGAACACCGGUGGCGAAGGCGGCCCACUGGAUCGGUACUGACGCUGAGGUGCGAAAGCGUGGGGAGCAAACAGG
rnacentral:rRNA from 1 species